rnacentral:rRNA from 1 species
GAUGAACGCUGGCGGCGUGCCUAAUACAUGCAAGUCGAGCGAAUGGAUUAAGAGCUUGCUCUUAUGAAGUUAGCGGCGGACGGGUGAGUAACACGUGGGUAACCUGCCCAUAAGACUGGGAUAACUCCGGGAAACCGGGGCUAAUACCGGAUAACAUUUUGAACCGCAUGGUUCGAAAUUGAAAGGCGGCUUCGGCUGUCCCUUAUGGAUGGACCCGCGUCGCAUUAGCUAGCUGGUGAGGUAACGGCUCACCAAGGCAACGAUACGUAGCCGACCUGAGAGGGUGAUCGGCCACACUGGGACUGAGACACGGCCCAGACUCCUACGGGAGGCAGCAGUAGGGAAUCUUCCGCAAUGGACGAAAGUCUGACGGAGCAACGCCGCGUGAGUGAUGAAGGCUUUCGGGUCGUAAAACUCUGUUGUUAGGGAAGAACAAGUGCUAGUUGAAUAAGCUGGCACCUUGACGGUACCUAACCAGAAAGCCACGGCUAACUACGUGCCAGCAGCCGCCGUAA